GACUCCACGAGCCGAGCGCCGCCAGACGAGUCCCUCCUCUUCGUCCUGCAGCGCCGCCGCCGCCUCCCUGAGCCCUUUCGAACCCCCCUCCGCCUCCCCCGCCCCCCGUUGAUCCUCUCGUCCUCGUCCAGUGCCAGCACAUCCGUGCGACACCGCCGGGUACGACCUGCAUCUCAACUAGGAUCCCAUUCCGACGAGGAUAGACCCUUGAAGCCGCCGCCAAGGAGCACCAAGGCCAAUCUCUAGAUAUCCACGCCAUCUCUUCCUCCUUCUCCUGCAGAUCUUGUGAGUGUUGCUUCUAAGGGAUGAGAUGGCGGAAACCUUCGAGUGGGUUUUCAGUUAAUUUAUCCGCAUGAUGGGUGGCAAGGCAAACAUCCCCAAACCUUGCUGACAGAUCAGAGCAGGGCGAUGGAGGUCGUGAUACAGAAACUGAUGCUGAACAGCACAUACUGAUGAUUCAAGUGAGGGUGCUCACGGAGACUUAUGGCCUGCAUGAACACCCUUGAGACAAAUAUAACAAGUGAGGAAGAAGUAGGUGAAGCCAUACUUUAGAGGAAAAUUUUGUGGAAAGAUGACCAAUACGCGAUGGAGCGAAAGUGCCAACCAGAAAGGUUAUGUUCCGGCAAGCUGCCCCAUGCAUCUCUUUGUACGGCAAUACACGAGGCUUCUUUUCGACCGGGAGGCCAGCACAACCUGGCCACAGAGGCGUGACCACGCUCAUAAAGCUAGGAAAGAGUCCAAAUGUUCAAACUGUGGAGUUAUAGGGGCUCAUCGGAAGAACAUCUGCAGCAACCCUAAGGUUACGCUGCAUGUUUUGGAUAAUGGACUGCAACCGUGUUAGUGACCUGAUUAACCCAUCAGGUUUCAUUGUCGUGUGCUUGAGCAACAAUUUUUUUUCCCUAUAUGUUGAGGGCUCAGUAGCCGUGUGUAGACCUGAAUUAUUUAUUGGUCUAUUGAUAAUUAUAAUUGUAGCACAUGUACUUGUGAUGUCA